AACGAACGCUGGCGGCAUGCCUAACACAUGCAAGUCGAACGAGACCUUCGGGUCUAGUGGCGCACGGGUGCGUAACGCGUGGGAACCUGCCCUUAGGUUCGGAAUAACUCCCCGAAAGGGGUGCUAAUACCGGAUAAUGUCUUCGGACCAAAGAUUUAUCGCCUUUGGAUGGGCCCGCGUUGGAUUAGCUCGUUGGUAGGGUAAAAGCCUACCAAGGCGACGAUUCAUAGCUGGUCUGAGAGGAUGAUCAGCCACACUGGGACUGAGACACGGCCCAGACUCCUACGGGAGGCAGCAGUGGGGAAUAUUGGACAAUGGGCGAAAGCCUGAUCCAGCAAUGCCGCGUGAGUGAUGAAGGCCUUAGGGUUGUAAAGCUCUUUUACCCGGGAUGAUAAUGACAGUACCGGGAGAAUAAGCUCCGGCUAACUCCGUG
rnacentral:rRNA from 1 species